CUCUCGUUGCCUUUGAAUCUGAAACUACCGUCGGUGGUGAUGUUGUUGAAAGAGGUUCACCUUGAUACGGAUGUCUUUGUUGGUAGGGUCCAGAAUCCAGAUGUUUGGUUCGUUUCAAUCUGGCGUGGCCAUUUAAGGGGCUGAAGUUCGUCUGGACGACAGGAGUGGUCAAUGGUGCCAAAAACGAAUGCAACAAGUAAUUGCUAACCGAACCUAUCCAUCGAGCCCAUGAGGGUUGAACCUAAGAUGCGAGGAGGAGCACCUCUCUGCUGUACGAUGAAUGACCUUCCACUUGGAGGACUUGGAGAACAAUCGCUCGUUCGAGUACUCGUAAACAGCCUCGUAGAUUGGACUCAUACUACCAACCAGGAAGAGACGCACCCAUCGUCUUUCAUUCCCUGGAGGCCAAGACGACUGUUUUAUUCGAAAAAGAAUGGUCUUGACUAUCGCGAGAAUACUGAUGCCGUUUGUUAGUGAGUACGUCGUACCGACGAGGUGGUAAAUGAAUCUGCCCUUGGCUGUCUCCUUAACCUAUCUGCUACAAGUAGACAAGUAAAUCGCGAGUUCCGAUUUGGUUCAAGGGUCUCUCAAAACCAAUUCCUUCCCUGCUUGUUGGAGCCUGAGGCAAAGAUCUUAGGCCUAACGUAAUCUAACCAUUUCCCAGAAUCAAUCAAAUACAUCGACAACACUUCAGCAUUCUCCGUCGGGAAAUACCAUCAUGAAUCAAUAUCAUGACUAGUGUGUAUGCAUUAUUAACGAUUGUGUGUGAGUGCACACAGUACACACUGCAUUGUCUGUUUUGACGUUUACCCAACUCCCCUUGAAUUUGCUUUAAUUUAAUGCUUGACCUGGUAAUAAAUCACGGAGACGAACAACUUUGGUGCGAAAACAUAUAGUAUGUAUGUGUGUGAGCAAAUUAGUUCAUUCAAGUGGUGGCUUGGCGCCAAUACGAACAGAUUUGAUUCAAGUGGUUGAAGAAGGUCCCGCAUUGUGCCUCUCUCCCUCUCUACGUUGUGAGGUUGGUUGGUAGGUGGGUAGGUGCUAGCUAGCCCUUCAUGAAACUGCAGAUCAGCCCUCUAAGUAUGUGAAGGUAGGCCUGGUAAGAGCCUAGAUCACUUGGAAUGAUGACGACAUCCAGACCAACGGUGAUUGGAGUAGUGGGGUGGAUGCUCGUAAGUCUGAGGAUCCUUUACAUUAAAAGCUCUUCAAAAGACAUCUGAGCACAUGGACGUGAAGGAUGUUAGGAUGGAGCAGCAGUUCA